UGCAUGGGCUCGGUGUGCCGCCCCCUGGCUAUGCCACUGGUUGCUUGUACUGGUUUGAACGCUCACGAGGAUGAAUUUCUGUCACCACAGGUCCACAAAUCAUGCAAGUUUCAUGGCGCACACUAGAUGACGAGUCUUUAGUGCUGCUACUACAUGGGUCUCUCGCUACCCACAGACAACCGAUGUGCGGAUGCGGCGUGCGAUGGCUUCGUUAAAUGCAAAAUGCAAUGCAAACUUGCUUGUCUAAAUAAAAAAAUUGGUUGUUUACUGGGGUAAAACGAGAGUGGGUUGCAUUUGUUCUGGUCGCCCGCGGAACCCAAAGAUGUCCUUCAUGGAACCCAGUUUGAGAACCCACGCGCUAGAGCAGCGCAGAGACCCGUCGCAUGCAGGAAGACAGUUGAUGCCACGUUGACGCAACAAGGUACUCGCCCACAGCAAAUGCACGCGUAGGUGACCACACAGCAGCGUUGACACGAAAACCGCAGCGACUGGAGGAACAUGCUACGCACAACAAAGAACCUGAGAGUCAACCCCGCUAAGCAUGCCACUCGGUAGUUUUUGCCAAGCGACAGUAGCGCCAGAACACACAGCCUAGCAUGUACAAGCAGCACGCUCGAGGCGUGGCAGCAAAUUUUUGCAGGGUCACGCAUAUUUACAACAGUCCAAAGGAGAUUAUGGCAGCACCAUGGGAGCCUUCAUUAGAAAGAUGCAUAGAAGAAACACGCUCGGGCGAGUCUGUGUUUUGCAAACGUCUUAUUUUUCUGGCAUUCCUGGCACUGCUUGAAAAAUCAUGUGGUCAACUAUGGCUUUUUUCCCCACUGAAGCUGACAUGGGCAUCAAAAUUCUUGCUUGGAGCAGCUUGGUGCAGGAAAACGGAAUCAUAUCAAAAAUGCGCACAGUUGUCUUACCCCUGAUGACGGUUCCUUGAUUUCCCAAAUUGCACAAAAGGAAGGCUUCACUGCAUAGCCAAAUGUCAUCAGGCUCCUCAGGUGAGGAUAUUUAGACCCAUAUUCUGAAACGCUCCUUAACUCAGACCAUUUCUUUACCUUACGUGAGGAGCCCUUCAUGCCUCCUAGAGCUCCUUGAGGAAGCCAGCAUGUUCUAAGAACUUCCUUCAACCUUUCUUUCCUAAGGGCCACCUCAGAAUGACAAAAACAGGAUGCUCAAGCAACCUUGGAGCUCAUUGCGUUCAUUGAUGCAUUUCAACGGCCUGUUAUGUGGGAGCGAGUAAUAAAGAUUGUUUAAAGAAUUGAAGAUGUGGGUGAGAUUGAUUUUCAUAACCGAGCACUGUUAAGGUUGUGAAACUUCCUCACUUUGGUGCAAAUCUGUCAUGAAUGUACUUAUGUCCAUGUAAAUUAUUAUGUUUACAUUCAAAACAAGAGUGCGUCAAUCUCGUGCAUCGCGCCUUUGUGGAUAUACCUGUUUUUUUGCAAAACGAGAAUGUCUUA